rnacentral:rRNA from 1 species
UACGGGGGGGGCAAGCGUUGUUCGGAAUUACUGGGCGUAAAGGGCUCGUAGGCGGCCUGCUAAGUCAGUCGUGAAAUCCCUCGGCUUAACCGGGGAACUGCGUCUGAUACUGGAUGGCUUGAGUUUGGGAGAGGGAUGCGGAAUUCCAGGUGUAGCGGUGAAAUGCGUAGAUAUCUGGAGGAACACCGGUGGCGAAGGCGGCACCCUGGACCAACACUGACGCUGAGGAGCGAAAGCCAGGGGAGCAAACGGG